rnacentral:rRNA from 1 species
AACGAACGCUGGCGGCAGGCUUAACACAUGCAAGUCGAACGGGUGUAGCAAUACAUCAGUGGCAGACGGGUGAGUAACACGUGGGAACCUUCCUAGAGGUACGGAACAACUCAGGGAAACUUGAGCUAAUACCGUAUACGCUCUUGCGAGGAAGGAUUUAUCGCCUUUAGACGGGCCCGCGUCGGAUUAGCUAGUUGGUGGGGUAACGGCCUACCAAGGCGACGAUCCGUAGCUGAUCUGAGAGGAUGAUCAGCCACACUGGGACUGAGACACGGCCCAGACUCCUACGGGAGGCAGCAGUGGGGAAUCUUGGACAAUGGGCGCAAGCCUGAUCCAGCCAUGCCGCGUGAGUGAAGAAGGCCUUCGGG